ACCCGGCCGUGAUUAUAAUUGUUGGGCCUACUUUCAUUCUGUUAACCGGACUUCUGCACGGGCUACUGCCAAACGAAAUUCCUGGCAACAUGAGGGAAAGCAAACGGCGAGCUAAUCCGGCGAAACAAUCAGAUACCAAUGCUCGAAACAAGCGCAAGUAUUUCGAUGGCAUGGAGCGACAUGAUCACGAAACUGAUGGAAAGAGGAAAAGAUUAGUGUUGAGGACCGAAACCCUAACUGUUAAGCCCCAUUGCUGGUAUCCGAAUUUUCGAACAUCGAAUAGGUUUAGACCAAUUCACGCCUCAUCCUCACGAAGGCGUAAUAAUAAGCAUUACCGGAGCAGAAGUUCGAGUAUUGGCGAGUGUCAUCGUAGAUGGGUCUUCUCUGGCGGCGAUUUCUCUGCCUAUAGAGAUAGGGUCGUUGUUGUCUCAUACAAUAUACUAGGUGUUGAAAAUGCAUCAAAGCACCCAGAUUUGUAUUCCAGAAUCCCACCUGAGUUCUUGGAGUGGGAUCGGCGGAAGGAGCUCAUAUGUAAGGAGAUUAAUCAUUAUAAUGCAGGCAUCCUAUGUUUCCAGGAGGUUGAUCAUUUCAAUGAUUUAGAUUAUCUUCUUCAAAAGGAUGGCUUUAGAGGAGUUUACAAGGCCCGCACAGGUGAAGCAUGUGAUGGCUGCGCUAUAUUUUGGAAGGACAAACUAUUUACCCUUUUGCAUGAAGAAAAUAUAGAGUUCCAGAGUUUUGGCCUCCGUAACAAUGUUGCUCAACUUUGUGUUUUAAAGAUGAAUGAAAAUCAACUGAUGUCUGACCUGUGUAAGCAAACAUCAAAGGCAACAGCUACCCAAAGUCGAAGAUUAGUGGUUGGCAAUGUGCAUGUUCUCUUUAACCCGAACCGUGGAGACAUCAAGCUUGGCCAGGUUCGGCUAUUUCUUGAGAGAGCUUACAAGUUAUCACAAGAAUGGGGUAGCCUCCCUGUUAUAAUUGGUGGAGAUCUAAAUAGCCUUCCUGAGAGUGCCAUAUACCAGUUUUUGGCUUCAUCUGAGCUGGAUGUCCUAGUUCAUGACCGCAGAAACAUUUCUGGACAGCUUGAAUAUCCACCACAGCACAAAUACUUCAGAUCACAGGAUGAGAUUGCCAAGAGAAAUAGCUUGUCCAACUCAAGGCCAUUAAUGCAUAUAUGGAGCGAUGAAGAAUUAAUUCUUGCUACAGGUAGCAAAGAAGUCACUCGACUUUGUCAUCAAUUAAAGCUCUGUAGUGCAUAUCUCGGGGUUCCAGGGAGCCAUAGAUCAAGAGACAAUUGUGGAGAACCAUUAGCAACAUCAUACCACUCCAAGUUUAUGGGAACUGUUGAUUAUAUUUGGCACACUAAGGAACUCAUUCCUGUCAGAGUUCUUGAAACCGUACCCAUUGACAUUUUGAGAAGAUGUGCAGGGCUUCCUAAUGAGAAAUGGGGAAGUGAUCAUCUUGCCCUUGUGUGUGAACUAGCCUUUGCAGACGAAGACAACAUGACCUGAGUCUUCAAUUGCAGAAGUGCUGACAUGAUAAAAUUUUCAGCCUCUUUUACAACCAGCAUGAAGCAAGAAGGUGGACUUUGUUAUUUGACAAAUGACACACAGGACAAGGACAACGCACACCCUUUAGCAAAACCAUAGGCAAAAAGGGGGGCUUGAACUCAGCUGCUAGCUUGAAGUUGUAGGGCAUAAUCAAGAGCUGACUGGUUAAAACUAUCAUUUAUUAAUGGGGUGUGGUGAUGACUAUCCACCUAACCCCUUUAAUUAAAGAGCAUUAAUCAUAUUUAAUUUCUUUCUAUUCUACAUUCUCAGCACAUGGAAAAGUCAGAUACAUGACAUGUAGAUAAUUCUAGGGGAAUUUAGAAUUUGAUGUUAGAGUUUUUGCCUUA